AGCGAACACGCCGGGACAGGCCAGAGGGAGCGGGGUCGGGUCCCGCUGCCCUUCCCGGCACAGCCCCGUGUCCCAGACACCGGCCCGGGGCAGCCCGAGGGCUCCCCCCCGCCGCAGCCUCGGCGGCCGCACCUUUCCCCUCACACAAAAUGGCAGGUGAGGAGCGGGGCUGCCGCUCGCCCGUUCCCCCGGCUGCGGACACCGCCGCCAGCGCGGGAAGGACCCGGGGGCAGCGGGGCGCUGAAGGGAGGGAGGGCCGGUGCCGCCGCCCGCACUCACGAUCUCCAGGAAGAUGACGGCUCCCGAAGUGCCUCACACAGUGGAACCCUCCCUCUGGGUCAUCUAUGGAUGCUGCCAUAGAGCAGCAAUGGUGGAAGAAUAGCAAUGAGCCAAAUAAAUCACAUCAAAUACAUAAGGAUCCUUACCAUUCUUUAAAAACUUGAUGGAUGUGUUAAGACGAGCAACGUUGAUAUUCAGUUGUCCAACAACUCUGCGGUAUCUUCCACAGUCACAGACCGUGCCUGAUGCGAUAAAAAAAAUAGAGGAUAUACCUGUUUAGAACCAUUUGUGUGUGUGCAUUGAGGGUCCUCUACAGCCCACUUCCAAACCUUCUGAAGACUUCGCCUCCACUUGUGGAGAGCCAGUCUCCUCCUGCCCCACUGGCCAUAAUUCUGUUGGUCAAAGAGCUUAAUAUUGUGGCUUUGUACACUCCCUUGCUAACUGGCUUAAAAAUCCCUACUAUUAAAAACGCAGAUAGAAAAGUUUCCCAUCUUCUUUCCACCCAUAUCAGUGUGGGAUUUGCAUAUCCUCUGCCCUUAUCAUUGUCGAUUUCAUCUAGCUGCAGAGCUGUGACUUCUUGUGGUGAUCACUACAGUGUUACAUCUGAAUGCCAAAGGUUUAUCUUGUAUCUGUAAAUAGCACAGGUUCCCUAGCCUUCUAACACAAAAAACAGCAUCCAUGAAAUGGGGAACUGCUGCUCUCUCAGUGAAGGAGUUUUGUGAGUGUGCAUAGAGGUGGGAUUGGCAAAACUUUGGUAGGACUAUGUUAGUCUAAUUGCUGCAUGCAGCUGUGGUCCAGCAGUAAUAGUCAAUACCAACUUGAAUAAUAACUUUCAAGCACUGAAGUCUCAGUUAUAUUUUUGUUGGUAAACUGAAAUUUGGCUUGGUAUAGGUUUAUGUUUGUUCCUCUGUUAUUCUCAGGGAGAAAAAGUUGCUGGUGAUUUCACAUUAAGAACCAAACUGGCAUUGCAUAUGAAAUCUCUUAAAAAUGAAUACAACUGUACAUUCAAGGUGGAAAAACAGUCAAGGUUAUUAGGACUGAAAAGAACUUUCUGGAUCAUCAGAUCCAAAUUCUCCUACCGUGAGCAAAUGCAUUGCAUUUAUUUAGCAGAUUGUGCUUUAUCUAAAAUCACUUAUUUUCAUCCCCAUGCUCCUAUUAGAAAACUUAAUAGAAUAACUAAUAUAUAUUAAUAUGAAUCCUUAAUAGAAUUAGGACUUAAUUCCUUUGGUAUUCAGAAACUUUCUUCUAGUUUCCAGUAUAAAUGUACCACUGGCCUGUCUAUGUGGUAGUUUUUGUGAUAUCAAACGUUGCCCAUGAAUUUAGGUAACUCUUCUCCAUGUUUUCGUAUGUUGGUAUAUUCAUAGAUAUCAGUCGUGUUCCUACCCAAGCCUUCAUUUAUCUAAAGAAGACUUUUUCAGUCUCUUCCUGUUUGUUUCAUCUAUUCUCAAGUUUUUCCAUGGGCCUCAAACUUUUAUGAAACUCCAGAAAAAGCAACCCUGAAAUCAGACCCAUCAGACUUGACCAUUGUGCAAAGAAGGAUGCACAGCUUACCUGCUUUUCCCUUUUUUCCAGAAACCCCUGAUAAGCCUUUGGCUCCUUUGUCACCUGAACAGAGAGGAAAAUAUAGUCUCAGACAGUGCACAUGUCAGGGGAGAGUAUUUGAAAACCUGUUUAAUAAUACAUCAACGGUGUGCUUCUGAUAGGAAGCCCUGAUGUACUGUACUGGCAGAUGUGCCAAGUCAAAUAAAUUGUGAUUAAUUCUGGUGUAUGGAAAUAAGGAGAACCCUUUAAUAGCUAACUCACUGAUAACACAGGCAUCUUGUGUGCUGCUGGCUCCUGGUACCACUUACUUUAAAUAUAAACUGCAAAAUGAUCCUGAGAGGUUGAAAGCACUCAUGAAAUCUGCGAGAGGUGAGACCUGGGUUCUCUCAUUGCCUUUCAGGACAGAACCCUUCCCUGGGUUCAGUAGCUCCAUGAGGGGAUGAAGCACCAGAUGAAGCUCAUGUGCACUAAGCCACUGAAUUCAUGUGUGCAACACUUUGUGUGGGCAGCAGUUAGCACCUGCACAAAAUGAGGUCAGUAAGAAGCAGCAUUUCAUUUCAGAUAUAGUUCAUGGAAAUGUGAUUUAUUUUCAUCCAGCUGCUUGUAUCUUCUUCUAUAAGUCAUAAAAAUGAUAAAAAUGCUUCUCCAAACGCUGUGCUACUCUGUAAGUGGAGGUGACUGGCUUUUAAAAAAUCUCAGCUGUAAUUUGGAUCAGGAACAGCUGGAUUUUAUCUGAAAUUCAUGUCAGCUCUUCUUUUAUGAAUUAAAACCUUCAGAGGCCAAAAAAUACUAAUACUUGCUCUGCCUUGUUGAUGGCCAUGUUUUGAUGUGGUUUUUCCUUUAUACAGUUGUGUAAAAUAAACUAGGAGUUGGCUAUCAUUUUAAUUAGCAUUGCUUGACACUGUACACUUACAAGCUGAAAUUUCAGGGUUGCUUCAUUAAGAACUUGAAUGUUUCAUGGUAGAUUUAAACAGUGACUAAGUGACUUUUGCUUCUGUAAAUAAAGAAAGAAAAUGAGAAAAACUAGAAGGGGCAAAUAAAUUGUACAUUCUGGUUGAGAGAGAGCUUGAUUUAAAGGCUCAGAGCAUUGGUUUACUUACAAAUAAAAAUAAAUAAUUUGUGGGAUCCUUAA